rnacentral:miRNA from 1 species
CAGAAUUGCAGUGCCUUGAUU